rnacentral:rRNA from 1 species
CAUGGAGGGCCGAACCGACCUCCGUUGAAAAGGCGGCGGAUGAAUUGUGGGUAGCGGAGAAAUUCCAAUCGAACCCGGAGAUAGCUGGUUCUCCCCGAAAUAGUUUUAGGACUAGCCUCAUUUUAGAUACCCGGAGGUAAAGCACUGAAUAGCCUAGCGGCCGAGAGGUUAGCGAAGCUUAUCAAACUCAGAAUGCCGGAGUAUUGGUGAAUGGGAGUCAGACAGUGUCAGAUAAAUGUCAUUGUCAAAAGGGAAACAGCCCAGAUCUACAGCUAAGGUCCCAAAGUCAGGUCAAGUGGAAAACGAUGUGAAGAUACGCAGACAACCAGGAUGUUGGCUCAGAAGCAGCCACUCAUUUAAAGAGUGCGUAAUAGCUCACUGGUCGAGCGUCUUUGCGCGGAGAAUUUAACGGGGCUAAACCUGACACCGAAGCUUAGGCAGCAUCGCAAGAUGCUGGGUAGGGGAGCGUUGUAUACGCGGAGAAACAGUAGCGCAAGCGGCUGUGGAGUGUAUAGAAGUGAGAAUGCCGGAAUGAGUAGCGCGAAUGCAGUGAGAAUCUGCAUGGCCGAAAGCCUCAGGUUUUUGGAGGAAGGUUCGUCCGCUCCAAGUUAGUCGGGAGCUAAGGUGAGGCCGGAAGGCGUAGCCGAUGCACAGACGGUGGAGAUUCCGUCACCACCAAAAGAGUUAAGCAUGGGGACACAUCUGAAGUGUCGGAGCCGGGAGUUGGUUCCGGUAGAGAUCGAGGGAAAUAAGUACCGAAGUCCGGCAUGGAAGGUGGCGAGAAAAGCCAUGUGUAUUUCUGAGGUGCCCGUACCGCAAACCGACACAGGUAGGUAGGAAGAAGAUUCUAAGGCCAACGGGAGAAGGGUUGUUAAGGAACUCGGCAAAUUGACCCCGUAACUUCGGGAGAAGGGGUGCUGCAGAGAUGCAGCCGCAGGGAAACGGCCCAAGCAACUGUUUACCAAAAACACAGGUUUGUGCUAAAUCGAAAGAUGACGUAUACGAGCUGACGCCUGCCCGGUGCUGGAAGGUUAAGAGGAGAUGUGAGAGCAUUGAAUUGAAGCCCCAGUGAACGGCGGCCGUAACUAUAACGGUCCUAAGGUAGCGAAAUUCCUUGUCAGGUAAGUUCUGACCCGCAUGAAAGGCGUAAUGAUUUGGGCACUGUCUCAACAGCCCGCCCGGCGAAAUUGUAGUACCGGUGAAGAUGCCGGUUACCCGCGACAAGACGGAAAGACCCCAUGGAGCUUUACUGUAGCCUGAUAUUGGGUUUCGAUGUUGUAUGCACAGGAUAGAUGGGACACUGGGAAGCAAGUGCUUUGGCAUUUGUGGAGUGGACGUUGGGAUACCAUCCUUAUGAUAUUGGAAUUCUAACCAGCAGCCCUGAAGCGGGCUGGGGGACAUUGUCAGGUGGGCAGUUUGACUGGGGCGGUCGCCUCCAAAAGAGUAACGGAGGCGUUCAAAGGUUCGCUCGGCUUGAACGGAAAUCAAGCGAGAGAGUGCAAACGCAGAAGCGAGCCUGACUGCGAGACUGACGGGUCGAGCAGGAACGAAAGUUGGAGUUAGUGAUCCGGUGGUAUGUGAGUGGAAAUGCCAUCGCUCAACGGAUAAAAGUUACCCUGGGGAUAACAGGCUGAUCUCCCCCAAGAGUCCACAUCGACGGGGAGGUUUGGCACCUCGAUGUCGGCUCAUCGCAUCCUGGGGCUGAAUUCGGUCCCAAGGGUUUGGCUGUUCGCCAAUUAAAGCGGUACGCGAGCUGGGUUCAGAACGUCGUGAGACAGUUCGGUCCCUAUCUGUCGUGGGCGCAGGAUAUUUGAUGGGAGCUGUCCCUAGUACGAGAGGACCGGGACGGACGAACCUCUGGCGCACCAGUUGUUCCGCCAGGAGCACAGCUGGGCAACUAUGUUCGGAUCGGAUAAACGCUGAAAGCAUCUAAGCGUGAAGCCGGCCCAAAGAUAAGAUAUCCCACUAAGUAAUUAGGUAAGAUCCCUUGAAGACUACAAGGUAGAUAGGCACGAUGUGUAAGUGGAGCGAUCCAUUCAGCAGGCGUGUACUAAUCGAUCGAGGGCUUGACCAG